rnacentral:misc_RNA from 1 species
CCUAGAGUUGUAGGCUUUGCCUGCUAUCUCUUACCCAUGUCUUUUGAGUACCUUCGUUUCCUCGGCGGGUCCGCCCGCCGAUUGGACAAUUCAAACCAUUUGCAGUUGCAAUCAGCGUCUGAAAAAACUUAAUAGUUA